UGGGGAAUAUUGCACAAUGGGCGCAAGCCUGAUGCAGCCAUGCCGCGUGUGUGAAGAAGGCCUUCGGGUUGUAAAGCACUUUCAGCGAGGAGGAAGGUGGUGAACUUAAUACGUUCAUCAAUUGACGUUACUCGCAGAAGAAGCACCGGCUAACUCCGUGCCAGCAGCCGCGGUAAUACGGAGGGUGCAAGCGUUAAUCGGAAUUACUGGGCGUAAAGCGCACGCAGGCGGUUUGUUAAGUCAGAUGUGAAAUCCCCGGGCUCAACCUGGGAACUGCAUUUGAAACUGGCAAGCUAGAGUCUCGUAGAGGGGGGUAGAAUUCCAGGUGUAGCGGUGAAAUGCGUAGAGAUCUGGAGGAAUACCGGUGGCGAAGGCGGCCCCCCUGGACGAAGACUGACGCUCAGGUGCGAAAAGCGUGGGGAGCAAACAGGAUUAGAUACCCCUGGUAGUCCAGCGCUGUAAAACGAUGUCGAUUUGGAGGUUGUGCCCUUGAGGCGUGGCUUCCGGAGCUAACGCGUU
rnacentral:rRNA from 1 species